rnacentral:rRNA from 1 species
GUAGGGGGCUAGCGUUGUCCGGAAUCAUUGGGCGUAAAGCGCGCGUAGGCGGCCCGGUAAGUCCGCUCUGAAAGUCCAGGGCUCAACCCUGGAAAGCGGGUGGAUACUGCCGGGCUAGAAUCCGGAAGAGGCGAGUGGAAUUCCUGGUGUAGCGGUGGAAUGCGCAGAUAUCAGGAGGAACACCAAUAGCGAAGGCAGCUCGCUGGGACGGUAUUGACGCUGAGGCGCGAAAGCGUGGGGAGCAAACAGGAUUAGAUACCCUGGUAGUCCACGCCGUAAACGAUGGGCACUAGGUGUGGGAGGUGUCGACUCCUCCCGUGCCGACGCUAACGCAUUAAGUGCCCCGCCUGGGGAGUACGGCCGCAAGGCUAAA